GAACUGCGAUAAGUAAUGUGAAUUGCAGAAUUCAGUGAAUCAUCGAGUCUUUGAACGCACAUUGCGCCCCCUGGCAUUCCGGGGGGCAUGCCUGUCCGAGCGUCAUUGCUGCCCUUCAAGCCCGGCUUGUGUGUUGGGUCGUCGUCCCCUCCGGGGGACGGGCCCGAAAGGCAGCGGCGGCACCGCGUCCGGUCCUCGAGCGUAUGGGGCUUUGUCACCCGCUCGAUAAGGACCGGCCGGGCGCCAGCCGGCGUCUCCAACCUUUUUUUCUCAGGUUGACCUCGCAUCAGGUAGGGAUACCCACUGAACUUAAGC
rnacentral:misc_RNA from 1 species